rnacentral:lncRNA from 10 species
UGCUUCUCCAUUUUCUCUCACAGCUUUGUAGAAGAGGAGGAAGACAAGAGCUACCAUCUGGAGAGCAGAACGUUUUGGGAAGCCAUCAAAGGCAAAGAACCUAAGAAUCCAGGAAGAUCUUGAACUAUUACCCUUUACUUUAAUUUUUAAUCAUGGAAAUAUUUGCUUGGAAAAGAGACUGUGUCUACAAUGGCAACCAUUUUUAUAUUCAGAAAUUUGCCAUGUAAAAUAAUUGAAUGUCAGAUGAAGAACUGCCUGUCAUAUUUUGCUAUUAAAAUAAUAUAUUUUUAUGCAUAACCUGACCUGCCUUUGUGAGUUACUGUAGCCUGUGGUCUCUCUGCAAGAUUUUCCAAUGGGAUUUUUAAUAAUAUUCCGAUGUUUGCCAUCUUAAGCAGUGCAAGCUGUUAAACUCAAUUUGUGAAAAAAAAAAAAUCAGGUAUAAAACCAGAUAAUCUGUAUCCCUUUGGAAUCAAAAGUCACUUUGCCAAAAUAUUUUAACACGCAAAAUUGCUUCUUGAGAGAUGUUUGUCAUGAUAAAAUGACAGAAAACUACAUUUCCAUUAUAAUUAUAACUGACUCGUGGUGCUAAGUUUUUAUAAUUUAAAGGUAUUCUCAACUCUGACAGCCCUUCCAUGUUGAAUUAUGCAUCUCAGGCUCUUAAAUAGUUCUGCUGGCACGAGACAGCUGAGAUGAAGUUGUCUUUCUAAAAUAAUUGCUCCAUGGAGCAUCCAUUAUACCUUCAGAAAAAAUGUAUUACUUGACUUCUACAAAUUAUAGACUAGCCUAUAAUGGGUAUUUUUGACAGCUAUUAGCUUUAAAAAAAUCUGAACAGUAAAAUGAGUAUUGAUAUCACAAUGGUGUACCGUGCAUGUUAAUACCAACCUUCUCUGUACUUUCCUCCUAAAGCAUGAUGUAAUCAUUAAUUAUAAUAAUAUUGAUAUAACUGCACUCAUGUUAAAAACAUAGUAUUGGCAAAGUAUGUAAUUUUCUCGCCUAUAAGAUAAAAAGCAUUAAAUGAAUAUUUACAGUAGAUUUUGAAGACACUGUCCAAGCUUGAAAGAUAAAAAGUGAAUUCAUUUUUGGCAAUAUUUUUCUUAAUCAUGAGAUUAUUAAGUGUAUUUUUAAAACAUGAAUGAGACAAUAAUCAAUGAAUAAUAGAGGUAAUAAUUUUAUUCCUCAGAUUCUUCUUCAAAAUGUUGAACACUGGUAAAAACAUAAUUUAUCAAUAAAUUUUAGAAAUGUUUUCCAUUUCUUAUCAAGAAUUUUAUGCAUCAUUUAGUUCUUAAACCAGUUCUAAUUUUUUAAAUAAAAACACUUGAAAACAUUCUUGCAGGAACAUUGCAUCCCACAGAACAACAAUAAUCCAAUUAUUAAAAUCUAGAAUGGAAACAAUAUUGAUAGAAAUAAAAGUAAAGGGUCAUUUUCUUUACUGUUUCCAUUUGUACCAAUUAAUUCCAGUUCUAUGAAAUAAAAUAUUUGUGGUUAAAUUUAGGGAAAUUCUAUGCAAAUUUAAAGUUUUCUGUGAUAAACAAAUAUAAGGUAAAUAUUUUCCUAGUGUAUUGCAUUGCCAGGGCCUUUUUUUUUUUUUUAAUGUGACUACAGAGAAAGAAAUGGCUUAAUUUCCUACGUCUCCCCUGAAUAAACAGUUCACAGACCCAGACACAUAUGGACACAUACCUCCUACCUGAAAAAUAAAAAAGUUACAAUAUAUCACUAACUUAACAUUAAUUAACACAUCAAUCCAUAGUGUAGCAACUGCCUAGUCUGUGCUACUUUGCCAAGUACUGAUCAGACAGUUCUUACUCACAAUUAUUCCUUAUUAACCGUAUCCUAGAGGUUCAUUCUUCUAUACAUGGCCAGAGCCAAAAUUACCCAGAUACGUGGUCUUUACAAAUUCCCUUGGAUUUAAAUUCAUCCUCCCCUCUCAGGCUAACAGUAGAGAGACAAUUCCUGGGCUAAGUCCCUGCACUCGUUUUCUUUUGUGUUAGGGAUUUGGUUGGAUGAUGAGGACGGGUGGGAAGUUAGAGGGAAACAUAAUACAGUUUUAGUGCAUCUUUCCAAUUCUCAUGUCUUACUUUUAUGUCUCUUAUUCAAAUGAAGUUAGAAGACUAUAAAGUUAAAGAGAUAGAGAAAUAUUUAGAAAUAAAUAUUUAACCAUUGUCUUAAAAGAACAAGAGUAGGAGGGAAGGAAGUAGAAAGAAACAGGUGACAGAGACUUUAUACUUCACUAUGCAUUAGUCACACCCUUUAUACUGGGUCCAAUGGGUACAAUCCAAAGUAGAGAAAAAUGCUCUAGUGUUGGGAUUAAUAGUUUACGUUAAGGUUACCACAAUUGUUUAUGACAAUCUAAGUUAAAAAAAUCUCUUUUAUAUAUUCUUUGCAGCUGAUAUUAUAUUAAACAUUAACACACUUCUUUUUACUGGGUAAGAAAUUUUGAUAGCAUGAGAUUUUGAUUUUUUAAAUAUUUAUUGUAGUCACAAAUUAUUAAAUUACGAACAAAAAUUAUUUAUCUGUUUACACAAUUGAGGCAUUAUAGAUGGAGUUAUCAAACAAGUAUCUCCCCAAAGCAAAACCACUUAUAGUAACAAAAGGAUGAUUUUUAUUUCAAGGGACUUAAAUAAUGUAUUUCUACAUCCUUAAAACUCAUCGAAAAUUGGGUUUAUGGGUUUUUAAUUGGAAAGACUACCAAGUGGUGAACACUAUCUGCUGGGAAGAACCUGUGUCUAUAAUAUUCUUUCAAAAACCCGUGUCAUUCCUGUGUUUACUAUGAAUAAAAUUCAACAUGUAUAUUAUCUGUUUGUGUGGUAUUUACAUAAAAUGUGAAAAUUAUACACAAAAUCACCUGUGAAAAUGCAAUGGAAUUUUGCAUGAUUUUAGUUACUACUUUUGAUUUUUCUAUAGCCUUCACAUUUUACACAAUACAAAUAAGUUUUUAUUUACUUUAUGUAAGCAAU